rnacentral:rRNA from 1 species
UUCGGUGCAGGAUGAGCCCGCGGCCUAUCAGCUUGUUGGUGGGGUAAUGGCCUACCAAGGCGACGACGGGUAGCCGGCCUGAGAGGGUGAUCGGCCACACUGGGACUGAGACACGGCCCAGACUCCUACGGGAGGCAGCAGUGGGGAAUAUUGCACAAUGGGCGAAAGCCUGAUGCAGCGACGCCGCGUGGGGGAUGACGGUCUUCGGAUUGUAAACCCCUUUCAGUAGGGACGAAGCGCAAGUGACGGUACCUGCAGAAGAAGCACCGGCCAACUACGUGCCAGCAGCCGCGGUAAUACGUAGGGUGCGAGCGUUGUCCGGAAUUACUGGGCGUAAAGAGCUCGUAGGCGGUUUGUCGCGUCGUCCGUGAAAACUCGGAGCUUAACUCCGAGCUUGCGGGCGAUACGGGCAGACUUGAGUACUACAGGGGAGACUGGAAUUCCUGGUGUAGCGGUGAAAUGCGCAGAUAUCAGGAGGAACACCGGUGGCGAAGGCGGGUCUCUGGGUAGUAACUGACGCUGAGGAGCGAAAGCAUGGGUAGCGAACAGGAUUAGAUAUCCUGGUAGUCCAUGCCGUAAACGGUGGGCGCU